UCCCCUAACCCCUUUAAUUAUUCCGUAAAUCUGGAGUUCUCGGUUGAUGCUCGAUUCAACAUCUUGGGUGUUCUUAGUCACUAGGAUGAGCUUAAUAUUUUGCAAUUAGUCAUUGGCUUUGAUGCAAAAGAUCACUAAUUAUGAAGCUUAAGGCAGCAACUAAAUUGAUGAAGCCUUGAUGUCUUAACUUGCACAUGAGACCUACUGUGUUGAUAUUGCUAAGUUCGCAUUUUGAUUCUUGAGCAUCUAUGGUUCUAAGUUCUUGACUAUCUAUUGGGGUUGGUUUAUAUGAUGUAAAGCAUGAUGUUGGGUGUUGAGGCAAUUACCUAUUGAAGCUGCGGCUGCUUUGAGAAUUCAGCUCUUAAAACCUCAUCUUUCUUCCACUCAAACUUGCUGUGUUGCUGGAAAAAUUUGAAGGGGUGCAGGUGGUUGCUUGAUUCAGGCAGAUUUGGUGCAGCUGCCAUUUUGGGAUCAUUUUGACCUCCUUUGAUAAAGUUGUACCCAUAGGAGAAAGAGUUAUUGGGCUGUUAUUGGGCUGACCUUCGGGCCGACGGGCCAAACUCUCGGGCUGCGCAAGGUGUGACUCGGGCUUAAGAAGAGAGGCCCAACAUUUGCAUAUUUUUAUUCUUUAAUUCUUUCUCAUCAACACGUGUGUAAAUUAUUUUGUAACUAGAGAGUAGCUUGAUAUGUAUUCGAACUUUCUGGAUCAGCAAAGUAACCUCGUAUUCUUUCUUGACGUUUAUUAUAUUUAAUUUAAUAC